ACAGAAUAUUACACAGAGUCUAUACAUUUACGGGGAUGGCGGAAGGUUAAAUAACAACCGUGACAUGCGGGACUACAUGCGACCUUGAUAUCGACCCAGCUGCUGUUAAGCAACUCUGACUUUGCCCAUGAGUUUGACCUGCCACUUGACAGCAGUUCCUGAUGAGUCUCCGAUCUCAUCGCGAGCUACUGAGUGCUGCCAUCCUUUGGCACGACGUGCAUCUAUCUCUCAACUCGAUGUUGACACACGACAAUUACAAAAUGAACUGCCUUGACCUUUUGGGUGACACAGUUUCGCAAUAGACUUGCGCUGCUAUUUUACACAUUUCAUUUUGCUUUCCUACUAUUUUUAAGUUAUCAAAUAAAGCUCCGAAACAAU